AUAGCUCAUGGAAGAUUAGGUCGGGCCAUAAGCAUCUUCCUCAUCUUUUGUUGACUUACAGCCAACUCUGGUUAUCUACAUCUCAUUCUGCAUGAUCGAUCCCUCAAUUUUGGUCAAUUCCGAGUCAUUGCAGUAAGUCUUCUCCAGCGUUAGAGGCCCGUUCUGAUAGGGCAAAAGUGUAGACCUUCCGGGGGAGCUCCCUCCCACGGCUGGAGAUGGAGCUUAGGAGCGAAAUAAAACGAGCAACGC
rnacentral:lncRNA from 1 species